UUUGGUGUUUACACAGAUUCCAUGCAUAUACUGUAUGUAUUUUUGCUGCUGUAAGCAGGCCGGUAUGACAGCCGAGAGGCAAACGUUUAUGCAAAAAUAUGGUCCUUAAUCGUCACGUGCGUAUUGCAUUUUUGCAAAAUACACCAACACAAGUUUUUAAGUUUCUAACUUUCCUAAAACAUUGCUAUUGGUUAGUUGGGCAAAAAUACAAUACAAACAAAAACAAAG